CACAGGUACUAUAUUACUAUAUUCCACAAUCUAAACCUCUACUUUUGUAGAGUGCAAGGAAGAAAAAGCAGUCAUUAGUACUUGUUUUCUAUAAAUAUUAUCCAGAAGUUGUAGCAACUUGCCUAUCUGUUGGGUGUCAAGGGAAGGCUUUGAGACGACAAAAGAAAAGGGAGGCUACAAUAUCCUCGCAGUGUCAUGAAGAUAAGCUUGAGGCAUCACAAUAAGGGACUUAUUUUGGCCUUAUUGGUCUCCAAGCUUUGAUCGUACCUACAAUGGCUAGGAAAGUUGUUGCGGCAUAAGAUUUAUUAGGA